UACAGAGGGUGCGAGCGUUGUCCGGAAUCACUGGGCGUAAAGGGCGCGUAGGCGGUUGCCUAAGCGUGUGGUGAAAGCCCGGGGCUCAACCCCGGGUCGGCCAUGCGAACUGGGCGACUGGAGCACGUCAGAGGCAGGCGGAAUUCCGGGUGUAGCGGUGGAAUGCGUAGAGAUCCGGAAGAACACCGGUGGCGAAGGCGGCCUGCUGGGACGUGGCUGACGCUGAGGCGCGACAGCGUGGGGAGCAAACAGG
rnacentral:rRNA from 1 species